rnacentral:rRNA from 1 species
UCUUAUAUACAUACCUACAACAUAGUGUUAAUGCAGCGGAUCCCAUUAGAACUCUACAAUUAAGCGUGCCUGGGAUAAGUAGUACUGGGAUGGGUGAUUGCCCGGGAAGUCCUAGUGUUUUACAUGCC